AGCUUUGUGCAGUGGCAGUAUCAUAGCCAAUGAUGUUUAUCCAAGGGGCGAUUAUUGCUAAUUAAAAAUAGCUAAAA
rnacentral:snRNA from 1 species